rnacentral:misc_RNA from 1 species
AAGUCGUAACAAGGUCUCCGUAGGUGAACCUGCGGAGGGAUCAUUGUGGGAAACCAAAACAAAAAAAAGGAGAAAUCCUUUUUUGAGGGGGGAAUAUGGCAACAACAAUUGACAUCCAUGAUAUAUGGGGUUGGUUGGUUGUUGUUGUUAUAUUUUCUCUUCAAACAAACAAACAAAUAAUCACAACCAAAGAAAACAGAGAGAUUGGAUUGGAUUAGAAAAAGUGUUUGCCUGAUAAUUUGAUUGAGAUAUGGAAAACAGUAUACAACUUUCAACAACGGAUCUCUUGGCUCUCA